rnacentral:lncRNA from 1 species
AGAUCCAUUAUUUUAUAACUUGCACCAAAUAUUCUUUACAACUUACACCAAGUAUCCUUCAAUGUAUACUUGAAAAUAUUUGAAAUAUAAAAAUUAUCAAAAUAUGUGAGUCAAAAUAAAACAAUUGUAAAUCCGAAACAUAAAAACCCUUACUUUACCCUAAAUUAUCUAAAAAAUAAAUGACCACACACAUUUGUAUUGUAUAUAGUGGAGGGAAUGAUUUAGAUUGAUAUAAGUAAGAAUUUAGAGAGAUUAUAACAAAUUAUCAACAAACGAUUCAUUUGCUUAAUGAUUUAACUCAUAAAUAUGUAUUGGUGGAAAUAUAAUGGUGUGUGAGUUUGAUUUGCGAGUGUUUGAUUGGUUACAAUUAUGUGUGUGUUUCUGCAUGUAUUGUGUUGUGUGUCUGCAUAAGAAACAUAUAGAAUUAAAGAAACAUUGAGAAGUAGAGAAAUAUAGAGAAUCUUAGUCAGAGACUUUCACACCUAGACAAUUGUUUGGUCAGUGAUGGGUUAGUCAUCGUCAAAGGUGGACAGGUUGGUACUGGAUUGCAUAUCAUUUAACUUUCAAUGUCUUCUUCAUCCCUUCAAACCUUUUCUUCAUCACUAUCCUUAAUGUACUCAUAUCAAUACGAACGCACUUUGCCCAAUGAGGAGAAUGCACAACCACCUAAAUUAUACACAUAAAUAAUAAAUUUAACACUACUUAUAUUAUAAGAAUAGUAAAGUUAUUUUGACGCAGUGACAUAAAAAUAGAUUUACCUGAUUACGUCGACCUCAUCCACAAAAAGUCCAUUGUAUAUACUCUAUCGUUCUCGUUGACAAAUUCACUCCAAUCCUACAAAGAAUGAACCUCAUUGUAAAAUUAAAAGUUGAAAUAUUGAAAAGAUUACAUAAUUCAGCAGAAAUAAACUUGUUUAAACUAUACCAUUUACUUGUCGUAAGAAUAUUAUAAUAAAACUUCUGGGUAAACAAUAUUUGUGGUGCAAUUUAACCCAUCUUCCAGAAGGAGGACGGACAGUAAUACGAUCCGAAGAUGUGCAUCUAGAUAGUGCCACAUAAAGGUGUUCAUGACUAAAAAUAGGUGUCCGCAAAUCAAUCCCAAUGAACUUGACAGAUUGUCCUUGGGCUUUAUUGAUUGUCAUAACAUAAGUUAAUCGGACAAGAAACUGACGCCUUGUCAUUCGAAAAGGAAAGUCCAAAAAUGUUAGUGUCGAUAAUAUUCUCGAAAUGAAGACUAAAUUGUCAAUUUUAUCUCCAUUUAAUAUUCGAGCUUCGAUUACCCUUGAGACACAUCUAACAACCAUCAAUCGUGUGUCAUUAUAAAGUCCAUCUUUCGGUGCAAUAUUUGAUAACAUUAUUAGACAUCCAACUUUCAACUCCAAUUUAAACCGUGACAACCCUGAAAGAUUCAACGAAUUUAAGUACUCAUUAGGAUAUCGAUUCAUAAUGGUAUUAUCAAGCUCAUCACCUUCAGACAUUUUAUAUACAGCUAAAAAAGUAAUUGUUUAUCCCUGAGUAAUAUUCAGUGUUGCAUCAUUUAUAUCACUGACGUCGUCAUUGCGAGCAGAUAGAAUUGUCCGUUCAGUGAAAAAGGAUGGAGUCACUAUACCAACUACAUCCAAUUGUGGUUAGAUUCUAAAUAUCAAUUCAUUUAUAUUAUGACACCGAUUUAUUGUAGAUGGAAGUUGUACAAUUUAUUGUGGAUUAGUCCCAAUCUAAAAAAUGAAAGUAUAAUUAUUCACAAAGUGAGAUUUAAUUCAAAGCAUCGUGUUAUAGAAAUUCAAUUCAAGGUUGAGUGAAAAUUACCUCCAUCAAGAAUUGAGCAAAAUUAGUAUUUCGAACGUUUGUGCGAGUUAAUCACAUGUUUAAAUCCAGAGUCAAAACACAUAUAUCUUUCCAUAGCGAAGACCAUCUCAAUGAUGCACCCACAAUUUGCUCACGAACGCCUUUAGGAAUAACAUGCAAUAAUUGUUGAAAGUCUCCACCUAAGAAAAGAGUGAUACCUCCUCUCCACCUAAGAAAAGAGUGAUACCUCCAAAAGGUCUUUUAUUGUCCUUGAUAUCUUGAAGGAUGCGAUCGAUUGCCUCAACACAAUAUCAAUUUUGCAUAGGAACUUCAUCCCAUAUUAUCAGCUUUGUUUUUCUAAACAAUUUGACAUGCAUUGAUGGUUUAGUGAACCUGCAUAUUGAAUUAUCUAGGGUUUUCAAAGGAAUACAAAAUGUCGAAUGUGCAGUGCACCCCCUACCAAUAACAACGAUGCAAUACCAGAUGAAGCCAUAGUAACAACAUGUCCAUAGCUACGCAAUUUGGUUGCAAUAGUAUUGCACAAAAACGUUUUCCCCGUCCCAGCACCUCCACUCAAAAAGAAAGUAGUUGGUAUGACAACAGUAUAAGCAGCAAUUAAUGCAUCAUUAAGAUCAUCAACAUUAAUUUGUGCAUCAUACUGUUGUGCUUCAUUCUCAAGUUGGACUCAUGGAGCAAUUGAUUCAUCAAAUAUAAGCUAUAAUCUUCAAUGUGAUCAUCAGUUAGAUUCAAAAUACCAAACUUAAUACGAAUCUUGUGCGCUAAAUCAUCAUAUAUAUGUGCUGAGAAUUGCUUCCACAAUGCAAAUGAAUGUAAUGAAAAGCAUUCUGUUAAAAUUAUAGCAAAUAGUCUCCUUAAUUGGUAUCUCGUUUUCACAAUUUCAGUCUCUUGAAAACAUUGUAUCCAUUCUUUAUCAUCUUCAAGAAGUCCUCUCGUAACACAUGCUGACUUGAAUGUAAGGUUGUAAAUGAGCCAACACAGUUCGGGCUCGAUUCGGGCUCGACUCGAAAAAAUACGAGCGAGACUCGGAUUCGUUAAUAAUAUGAUCCAAAUCUAAGCAUUAAAAAUAGUUCGAAUAAAAUAUGAGUAAAAUCUGAACAAAGUUAUACUCGACUCGUUUAAGAUUCAAACUACUUGAAUUCUUGAUUGUGAUUCGAUACAUACUCGGUUAAUACAUAUUCGAUUAGAUGUUCGAUACAUUCUCUUAUAAUAUAUACAAAUUAAACCAAAUUAGAAUAAUUAGUUAUUAUUUUAUUUUAUUUUUAAUUUUAAUUGUGAUUUUAUAUUUGUAAAGUGUAAUAAUAAAUAUAUUUCCUCAUUUCUAAGUAAAACAACAAAUUUAAUAUAUAAUUAUAUUUAUUAUAAAACUAGUUAUUAUGUGGAUACUCGAAUUCGAGCUUGAAUUUGAAGCUCGCGAGUAGUUUGAAUAAAUAUUCGAGUCGAGUCGGAUUGAAUUCGAGUAAUAAAUAUUCAAGUCGAGUCGAAUCUAAGUAGGAUUUUUCAAAUAUAAUUCGAAUUCGAGUACAAAUUUAUCAUUUCGAAUCGAAUUCGAGUAGCUCUCUGUUCGCUCCGGUUCGACUCGUUUACACCCUUACUUGAAUGUAUCAUGCCUAACAUUAUUUACCUUGCGUAGCCAAUCAAAUGAAGUAGGUCCUCUGACAACAGUUAAAAGCAAACACAAAUAAAAUCGCUCACUUGAAUUAGGGCUAGCAAAGUACAUUCUACUAAUUGCAUAACCCCUUUGUAUUGGAGCCCAUUUACUAAUAGACUUGUUCCAAACAAGUUUUUGUGAAAAUUCCUGAUAAGUUAAUACACGGGCAGAAUUAUUUGUAGCGCAACAAUUAAAAAAGUAAGUUAGAGUUGUUUCUUGAUGUGAACCUUUAGAAAUGAUCAUAUCAAAAUAUUCAGCAGGGUUAAAGAACACACGAUGCAUCCCAAGCAAAUGAAGUGUCAGUCUUACAACUGACGGAAUCUCUUCAUGUAAAGGAUUAUCAAACAAUCUCCACGCAGCUUCUGAAGGUCCAAUAUACCUAGCAUUAAGAUAUUGUUGGAUCCCAUUAAUUCAUUUAAGUACCAUUGUUGCGCGAUCAUUUCCUUUAUAAAUAUACUUAUGAAUGUAUUUUACACAUCUGAUUCCUGCACAAACUUCAACAUUAAUAUGACAGUCGAACAUUCUUGAUAAAAUACAGAUUAUGUGGCACAACGUCUCUAUUAUUAAUUUCUUGCCCCCUCACGAUGUACUUCUAACCAGUAUUACAACGACAAUACAUAGGAUAUCCAUCAGAGUCCAUACUUGUUGAUUCAACAAAUGAUCGAGGGUACUGAUUGGUACACACUCCGUUUUUCAUACAUGGUGCUUGAGGAUUUCGAUCACCACAUAGUCCGUGUACCAUGCAACUUAUGAUUGUUUCAAAAAGCAAUGGGUCUGUUUGACAAUCCAGAAAUUCAGCACUCACUACUCUGUCCACUUGAGCAUAUGUUUGAAUUUUAUCUAGGAACAAAAGUGCAUGUAUGUGCGGUAAACUCUUUUUUUGGAAUUCAAUUGUAAAAACAUGCGCCACUUUUCUACCAAAGACGUUGUUUGUUUCUAUCUCCUUCAUCAAAAAAUUUCGUUUCAACUCAAAAACACGGGACACUAAAUCAGGACGGUCAGUAGGGAUCUAAUUUGACAAUAGUGAUGUUGAUUAUACUGCGUGGUAGCCAUUGAAUUUUAAAAAUUUUCAAACAUAUGUCUUGCACUACCAGUGAAUGAAGAUGGCAACACCAUUCGCUGACCAACUUGUUCAGGACUAAACUCAUCUGCACAAACAUCUGUAAGACCUUGGUAAAGUUCUGCACAAAGCUUCAAUUGAUUCAACUUGUAGUAUGUCAACCGAUUUUAUUCAGUAGCGACCCAAGCAUCUACUACAAAUUCCUGAAAUAGUUUUUCAGCUCUCAAAAUUGUUGAAUACUCAACGUCACGUUGAAACAUACGAUAACUGUAAUAUUGCAACACGUUGGAACAUACGAUAACUGUAAUAUUGCAAUUGUGUCUAUCGAGUAAAUGAAUGUCCACCUUGGGAAGCGUUCUAAUGUUUCAAAUCUGAAUUCCAUCCUAGCUCACCACAAGGGAAUAAUAACACAUAAUGCAAUGGUAAAUAGGUCGGAUGACACUCAUUAAUUUGAGUCAAACCAUUAUCCCCUCUCAAAUGUAACAUAAUAUCUCUCAUUCCAUUUGAUUCCUCCCGAUAAUAUAACCGCAAUCUCAUCAGUUGUUGGGAGAUUAUAUCAACGCCGGUUUGUUACAGAACUAUGGUGAAAAUAUGACGAUAAAUUCACCCCGUCAAUUCCAAUUCACUUAAAAUUGUGUGAGCCUGCGAAAAUUUCAUAGAAAAAGGAUUAACUUGCAAUAAAUAAUUUUGUAUGGUUUUCAAAACAUCUUUUCUCAAGUUAGGAUUUUUGUUGCUGCGAACAUCUAAAGUUGAAUUAGGAUAAUAAAUGUACAAUUGAGAAUAAAUUGGUUCACACCCUGACUGUGGCAUAAGAGAUCUUGUUCGAUGGCGUAAUUCUCUAUGGAUGGUGAAUGUUUUAGGCCCCCUCCCGACAAUUAAUCUGUCAUCCAAAAUAGCAUCAAGAUGUAAACGCAUAAAAAUCCGAACUAAAGAAUUUGUGUCUCGCUUGAUCAUUAGUUACUGAGAGGUUAAAAAUAUAUCUUCUCUUGGCAUUAUACUCUCGUGUGUGCUGAUGAAACGAUUUUGAUUGUUCAUCAUCGUCGUCAUACAAUGAUUUAAAGAGGUGCAAUAAGUGGAGGUAGUCAAAGAGAGGAUUUGAUAUAAAUGAUUUUGUUAAUUUUUCAGCAAGACGUUGUAAGGUAGAACAAUGAAGACAUGGUUUCGAGAAUUAAAUGCAACAUUUAUAGCUACAACUUCUAUUGUGUAGGCACUACAAAUAAAAUUAUAGAUGUCAUACAAUUUUUAAAAGUUAAACAUGAAUAAGACAGCAAGUGUUCGUUGAGUUCAGUUCCUACUAAAGUUAUCGUAUGAAUAAGACAGCAAGUGUCCGUUCCGUUCAGUUCAGCAAGGAAAACAUGAAUCAGUUCAGUUCUGUUCCUACUAAAGUAGAAGACGACUCUUGUCCUGCUCAAUCCAUUUUUUGAGCCUAUGAUCCAAAUAUGUUGUUUACAAACUCAAUCCAUUUGAGUUUUCUCACAUUAUUUCUUUAAACUUUAUAAAAUAAAAAAGACUAUCACCCAAACAAAUAAUGAAAUAGAAAUACAAUACAUUUUUUUUUUAUUAUUUGGUUUAUUCUUUUUGGGGAUUUUAACUUACAACUCAAACUAAUUAAGUAUAAACUUCAUAUUUAAAAUUAAUAAUUAAAUAAAUAUAUCAAAAAUAAUACAUUACUUUUGUUUCUAUAACAAAAAAUAUAGUACUUGAGAAUAAUAUUUUAUUCUAAUUAUGGUGGUCAAUUGGGACAACAAAUUUAAAUUGCAUCAGGAUAUUAUUCCAUAUUGGUAAUUAUAGGGAGCAUCGGUCUUAGUUCCUAGGAAGCUUUAUAUUAGAGUUGCAAUUCCAGCAUCAGUCUCAGUCGUAUCGAUUGAUUGAAUAAAACCGGAUCAUCAUGCAGAAUAUCAGUAUGAAAAGACCAGGUUUGAGUUUCUUUGAAUACAAAUAUCACUUAAAACAAAACAGCACAGCACAGCAGUAAUAUAAGAUCGAUGAAAAAUCAUAUUGAUUCGAAAGAGAAUCAUGGAUGUACCUUUGGCAGCCCAACAGAAUGAGAACCUUAUUCAGAUUUUUUUGCUGGCAUCUCUUACUGCAAAGAUGAGGAAGAGAGAAGAAAGGUCUAGAUGCGGCUUAUGUAGGUAGGCAGGCCGGCUGACUCUAUCUUUAUAUAGGUACUAGCUUUGGUUCACGCUCAAUGCAGGGUCUUAGCAAACCCUGAUUUUCACAUUUUAAUUUUUCUAAAGUCAAUUAUGAUUCAAUAAGUCAUGACAGACCGGAA